UGGAGGGCUGGAAAUGUUCUUUGUCUUGUUCGAGAAGACUGCAGGCUUUCUUUCUCAUUUAACACAUUAAAAAUAAAUUUUUUCAAGGAUAUUGAAAGUUACACCAAAAAGAUUGUGUCAUAUAUUUUUGUUUUGUUUCUUGUAUUUUUUUUUUUCCUUAUUUCUGCAGUUGGGGUGGAUUUGGGUGAGAACAAAUCAGGAUAGGCCUUAGAAGAGAGAAUAAUCAAGGUGUCAUCGAAGUCUAACAACAAUAACAACAAAAACACAGGCCCAUUAUGGCAAUCCAACAGCAGAAUGGGAGGAUAAAAUAAUCAGAACUAGAGAAAGAAGAAAGAGAAAAGUGGAUUCUCAACUAGAAGCAAAAACAUCCACUGAAGUUUGUGAGAGUGCAAUAGGCAGUGCCACAGAUCUUUCUGAGGAAGUACUACCAUAUGACUUCACCUUCUCAGGCUGAGGUAUCAGCUUGACUGUCACUCCACAGAUCAAGACUAGAGGUAAAUGUAAACACUAUACAGGUGGGAUGAGAAACAGCUGUUCAGCUGCCUGGCUAGAAGAACAGGCCCAGUUCUUUGCUACAGGAUGGACAUGGAAAAGUUCAGGCAUUUGAAGUUACUGGCGUCAGCCACAUGAGAUUGAUGACGGGAUUGGCUUCUACAAGAGGUCCAUGUGGUUCUCAUUUCUGAAAACAGAUGUUUGGAAACCAAUGUUUUCAAAGAUAAUAUGAAACUACACCAAUAUGCUGCACUAUGGAGAAAAACUAACCUUGACAGAAGAAAAAAGAUUUUCUUGAGGCAGAAGAUGAAGGACUAUUGGUCGGGACAUUCACAGAAGUCUGUUCUGUAAGUUGGGUUAUAUGGAAGCAGAGAUGCUAGGUCAACCCAUGUUGUGCCCUCCCUCUUUUGGUAAGCAAAACACUGAUGCUUAUGACAUCUUCCUUUUCUUUGGUGGUGGCCUUGAAAAUUGUUAUUCCUUCCAGAAAGGGCUGGAUGUCACUCGCUUAUGAAUUUGAAUCCUUCUCUUUUUGCCAAAUGAUAGAACUGAGCUUGCUCCAUGAGCUUCAUGUGUGUAAACAUUAGUGGGGAUCCAAGUGGCUCUGCAGGUAGAAUAGACACUCAGGUCCCUCCUGCCCAAGUCCAGGGGCUUGCUUCCAUGAAUCCAAUCCUUUAGUUCAUAUCAGUUCAUGGUGUACCAGAAGCCUCAACACAUCUGCAAAUUUUUACAGAACAUGUUUGUGCAAGGAAAUAAAUUAGGUCACCAGGCCUUCAAAGGCUCCUUCCACUUAGGGGUGGUGGAGCCCAUGAAGCUGAGAAUCACCCUUGCCAGCUGUUGGAACUUGAAAUAAUCCUCCAAAAACCUCUUGCUAUUUUAGGAGGGUCAUCCUGGUGGGUCUGUGUAUGCUGUAAAAGAGUGGCUCACUAUUUAACCACCCAUCUCUACUGUGCUGAUUUAGGGACCACGAUCACUUGAGCUUUUCUUGGUGCCUGGGAUCUGUCUUUCUGCACAGGGAUAAUCUAGGCUUAUUUGUGGCUUUUUUCCCCUGCAUUUCCUUUACUUGCUCACUUUCCUUCUUUUCCUCACUAUGUUUCCAUUUGAAAUCAGUUUUCACAUAUGCAUUUCAGUGCAACUCUACCUUCAGGAACUUACUGGAUUACACAGGAAAUUCCUUAUAGUGUGUGACCAUCUGCACUGCAAACAAUUUUCAGGGAAUUGACUAGCUACUAAUACCACUUACAAAAAAUCUAAUAAGGGGUUUAACAUUUUCAUAAGGAAAAUUAAUAUUUAUAUUUUCUGUUUUGGUUGGGUUACAUUUUUACUAUUUUGAGAAAAAAAGUAUUGCAUUUUUAAAAAGUGAACAAAAAAAGCUCUCAUACAAUUGAAUGGUAUUGCCAAAAGAAAUUAAGAAGUCAGAAUUUGAUGAUUCAAUAUAUUAUAAAUAUAUUUUUGACCAUAGUCCUAAACUAUCAUCUGUCAAGUUGUAUUAUUUUGAGUACAUAAGUAUUUUUCAUGUUCUUAUUUGUUUUCUAUAAUGCCUCAUAACAUAUAUAGCUCUGUGAGUCUGUUCUUUCAGAAGAUCUUAUCUCUUGUUAGUUUUCAAGGAUUUCCAGGUUCACAGCAGCUGACUUUUUACUACACAUUUUAUGACUCUAAAACCAUUAGAAGAACAUCAAUGCUUCCCUAAAUUGGUUUUUUGGAGAAAAUGUAAUAUGUUUGAUGAAUUCAAAUAAAAAGAUGGAAACAUAACAGCAUAUUGGAUUACUUGUUAAUUUUUCUUUCUCAAAUGUUUUAUAUUGAAAGGAAUUGAUUUGUGGAGUACAUUUUCAAACCAAUUUCACCUUCGUUUCUAGAAAAACUACAUUUUGUCCUAGAAAGCUAUCGACAUUUCAUCAGAGGAAAUAGAUUCAGAAUUGCUGCCCAGUAAAAUCUUUUUUAGCGAUAGUUCUCUAUCUUUCACCAAAGACAAUGCAAUUGACCUUGGGUUGGAGGAUAAAAAGCUGCCAUUAUCAAGUGACAGAAUAACUGGUUGUCUUCCUCUGCUAGGUUUUUGGCAUCACAGAGUUCUCUGAGUCAAGCUUUCACAUAGAGAAAUAACUAAUCCAAUAACUAUAACAACUUAAAUUAUACAAUUACUUUAUCUUUGUCAAUUUAAACUGGUGAGUUUAUCAAAAACAAAAACGGAACUUCAAACACAUUUAGAGAUCAUAAGCAUAAGUGAAAUAAGACUUAAAGGUAUCUUACCAUCUAAAAUCAUCACAAGUCAAUUUCAUAUACCUUAAGAUGUUUAUCUCUGUGCCCUGCCUCAUUUCAGAACAGGAGGCCAGAAUCCAUUCAAAUUAAAAUAGUUUCAAAUAGCAAUUCAAAAACAAACCCAUUAAUUGUCUCUUUCCAAAUGAUUAUUAGAAAUGAGCUUCUUAAAUAGAAAAAAAAUCUAAACUCUAAAGCAAUCAU
rnacentral:lncRNA from 1 species